rnacentral:rRNA from 1 species
UACGUAGGGGGCAAGCGUUGUCCGGAAUUAUUGGGCGUAAAGCGCGCGCAGGCGGCUGUUUAAGUUUGGUGUUUAAGCCUGGGGCUCAACCCCGGAUCGCACUGAAAACUGGACGGCUUGAGUGUAGGAGAGGAGAGUGGAAUUCCACGUGUAGCGGUGAAAUGCGUAGAGAUGUGGAGGAACCCCAGUGGCGAAGGCGACUUUCUGGCCUAUAACUGAGGCUGAGGCGCGAAAGCGUGGGGAGCAAACAGG